UGUCUUUAGGUUGUUUUUCUGCUUUUAAAUUUAAAAUUGUUUUAAUACGGGGGAAAUUGCAAAGAAAGACCAAGCUGGGAUCAAUGAGAGCGGGACACAGCGGCAGAAAGUGUAGCGGAGAAAAUCUAUUUAAAUGACACAACUGAUUAAUCUUCUAAGUAGCUGACACCAGCAUAUCUCAAGGCACUUGAUAUAAAACGUCCAGUGAUUUCAGGAUGCCGCCUGCGUACUGCAUAGGCCAAGCCACAAGUGAAGGCAAAGGGAAACGAGUCUCAGUGCUGGACCAAGCUGGACGUCGCACAUGGGCUGCACGCUCGUCGGUGGAUCCUGUCGAUUGGCUGAACCAUGCCGGAUCUGUUUUCCUCCAUGGAAAUAUAACCAGAAAAGUUUAGUCAGGAGCCACAGCUUCCUUUUCCGUUCUUUCCAUUUGUAGACGUUGCCGCUGAACAGACACAGGCGCUCAGGUGUUCAGUCCUCGCUGACGCAAAUCUCUUAUUCAGGUCACUCAAGGCUUUGGCUAAAAAAGGACUGAAAAAAUGGCCUAUAAUGAGGAUUGUCUUAGCAGCUUUACGGGGUUAUUUUGUGUUCUUUCGCAUUAGUUUUGGCCCAGUUCUGGUGUCCUUCUCAGUGAACGAAGAUGCCUGCACUGGACACUGAAGUCCUCUUUCAGUGCUUUAACUAGGGUGUUAGAGCCCAGGGCUCUGGGGUCUCAUGCUGUCAGGGAAUGUUACUACUCUGAUUCCUGCUACACCGCUCUCUGGCCACCCACAUACACAGUUCUAUACUACUACGCCCAUGGAUUGCCAUAAAAAUACAAUAUUUGCUUUGGGAAGAUGGUUCUUCAGUACUUGUUUUAAUUAGGACACCGUGCCCUGCUUCUGUGGGGAUGGGGAUGGGGAUGGGGAAGUGUUGUGUUGCUGUGCUUCUACGAGUGGUCGUAUGAAGAGGUCUCUCGGAAGAAAAAGAGGAAAGGUUUCUUACUACGGUAGCUGUAGUUCUUCAUGUUGUCUUCACGGAUUCACUCUACCCGCUUGCCUCCCUCUGCUUCAGAGCUUCCUUUUCUUAGGGGCGCUGAAGUCGAGCAGGAGUAGCCGAGGCAGGUAAGAAACCCCCGGCCUUGCCUAGUCUUGAGACUGAACGCUUGGUGCGAUGUGCUCCCUGCAGGUAGCGGGCUUCUCUGGUGGGAUGGCUCCAGACGAAGGAGGAUGCGUCUCACAGGCAUGUUUGCAGAGACGGUGCUCUCACAGAGUCCUGGCAUUGUGCAAGUUUUAUGCCUUCCUCCAAAGCCCCUUGGGUCAGGAUGGCAGCCAAGGUGGCCCAUUAUUCUUUCUGGAUGCGAGAUCUGUCCCAAGAGGAGUCUCUCUCUCAAUUGGUCUUUCCACCGGUCGAAUUCCCCAGCGUUGCCCGUGAGCAGCAAGCCUCUCCAGCAGGCGAGGUCUUUCUCCAUGUUGACUAAACUCCCAGAGGGCUAAGCCUGGGCUUCUCCCUGCGUACCGGCCUGGGCAUAGUUUGUCAUGAGACUGCGGGGAGACGGCAGUAGAAAAUGUAAGCGUGAAGGUCCCAGUUUGCUUAGUUCAACAAGCAAGCUGGCUUCUUUGGCACUGUGCAACUCUCCAUGGCAGGGAUGUGUUCUGCAUUGCCAAUAAAAGACUUUUCCUGCUUGGGAAGUCUGGCGGGGGCUGUUCAACGACCGCACUAUGUCUUAAACUAAAGCAUCUUCAGACAGGCAUUGUCCCUCUAUCGCGGCAUCAUAGCCCAGGGUCUGCUGGGAACCCGCUGGGAUCCCUAAAUCUUUCUAAUUCGGGAAGCAGUUCAGAGAGAUGCAGCGAACCAGUGUCCAGUCUGCUCCUCGUUAUUAGCUUGUUAUAGGCAAAGUUUCGUGUCUCUCUCUCAUGAUAUUUCUGCGAUUAUGAGCUUUCUACCUUUUUGCGUGUCCUGGAGCCCAUCGUCUCACUUUGGCAUCACAAAGUGCACCAUCUAAUAUUACCAUCUAAUAUGAUUAAAUGGCAUUUCUUAUUGGAAGGAGAUCCUCUCCUUUUAAUGAGGGCUUUAAUGCUAGUAGUUCAUGUCACUGUCUGGGGAGCCCCUUUACCUUUGUUCAUAAUGAGGAACACCUCAUUUGCACUGUCCCUGGAUUUAUGGAAGGAGAGAAAAAACCCGUCAAUUUAUUACAUCUUAAAUGAACUGCUCCCAAAGCAAAAACAAAAAGGGUAGUAAAGUAGUGUCUCUGUGCUGGAUAGUCUGGUUUUAUUGAGCGGUGUCACGGUGUCCUGACUAGGCUAAGGACGGUACGCAGGCUCUGUAAUUCCCUGUGGUGAACCCGCUUCCUGAUAACCCCCGCGGCCCCCACCUGUCCAGUGUGUUGAACCUGUCAGCUAGGAUAUUUUAUUCUCCUUCCACGGAUACUGCCCUACAAUGUUGAAAGCAAGGAAAAGCACUCUUGGUUUUUAUACCCAUCGCUGGGGGGAACGGGGUGCGCUCCUAGGACCUGCAGGUGGGAAAUAUUUUGGUCAUUAUUUGGACUUCACCUUUUUAAUGGCAUUUUGAACUCCUUUUGGAGCUCCAGCCUGCCGCCUUCAGUAAUGAUGUGCUGGUCUCAGCCUUCCCGUGCUGUACCUCUGUGAGCGGGCCCCUGGGGGAUCCCAGCUCUGGGGCCGCAGUCACGGGAGCGGGUGAGAGAGAAGAUCGGUUCCCAUUGACGCACGUCCCGUUUUAGAAACAAGACUUUGAGGGCUCAAGACCCCCUGAAAAGUGACCAAGUAGUGGCCGGUGACAGCGCCCUGUUUUUAUUGUAACAUUAAAUUCAGAUUCCUGAGUGCAAGAUUGUUUAUGAAAAAGUUUGCUGUUUUUUGCUUCAGAAUCAUGUAGAAAUUAAGUAUAAUUUUCUUUGAGGCACUUGAUUUAAAAACAGUUGAAGGGGAGGAGAGAGGACCUCUUCUUCUUGCUGUGACAGUCCACCAUGUCCAGGGAGAGGAAGCCAUCUAACACUUAUUUCUCAAAUGCGUGUUAACGGUGUGAAUCCUAGAGGUGAUCUCCUGCUUUGAGACCGUUCAGCAACGGAGAAGAUAGCAAACUCUGCCUGGUGCCUCCCUGCUUUUGCUGUGCAUGUAUGUGGAUGUGUGCACACGCUUUUCAUCUGCGGUUCAAAGGUUAUGUAAAUUAUUUCAGACAAAUUCCAGCGACAAAUAAAGCUUCUCUUUUAGGGUUUUUUUUCAGAAAAACUUAAAACCUUUUUAUUUAUUUCAUUUUUUUUUGUGUGUGUAAGAUAAGGAGCCUCCAUAUACCCAGCCAGGUUUUUUUUUAGACUUAAACUUCAGAAUAUUUUCAAUAUCUGCAACAUUAUCUUUUGAAUAAUAAUUACCUCUUAUAUUAAAUUAUAAGACAGCAGGAUUCAGGAUUAGAUCUCUCCAUAUUAUUCUAGUGAAGGAAAUUAUGACAGGGGUCAUUUUUUAGAAUUAUGUAGGAGGGUAAAAGGUCCCAGGCAGCAUUAGAAGGGAAGGCGUUUAUAAUUAAAUUGUAAUUUAGGCCUAUGAUUUAUAGUUUUCUCAAUGAAAAAUUUGGUGCUGCAGAGAGAUCCUGGGAGGAACUUUAGUGAGAUACAACUUAAUGAAAUAAUAAAAAGAAAAAUUAUUCUGGAAUAGACUGUAUUAUAGUGGCACCCGGUAGCACAACUACAGUAUAGCUAAUGCUCUGUCAGUAUUUCCAUUAUAAGCCCUGUUUGUCAGGGGUUUAUAUCUAGGCAAUAAAAUUUUGUUCCAGGCUAAAACUUGGCUUGCGAGGGCUCUGUCCAGGAGCAAUUUAGUUUUUUUUUAAAAAAACCUCAUUAAAACUUAUGCAGAAAAUGAAAACAUGCAGGUUUAUCCGUUGCAGACCAGGUCGUGGCUUGCGGCGGCGGUGCUGUUAAUGGCUACCGGCACGGCGUGGCAAACGGGCCCAGAUGGUUGUUUCCACCCUGUUCUGUUUUUAGUGUAGAAGCAAGCAGUGCCCUGGGGCGCGGUACUGAGACUCAGCCGUGUUUGUGUCACCAACGCAGGACGGACACGCGCUUCUCCGCCUACUCAGGAGUACUGGCAUGAAAACAGGAUCGUUUUUCUGACAAUUUUAAUGAAUCAGCCCAACGCCCCCUCGCAGAGAAAUAUCAUUACUUGCAUUUUGCCAACAGGUUCACGUUGUCGAGGAAGGGUCGAAACACAGGCCCAAAGCCACACGUGAGAAUGCGUAAACCUCUCUUUCUGGUAUCCCAGACUGCUUAUGAUGUUGCAAGAAAAGAAGAGACAUCUUCAGGUGGAGUAAAAGAGGGACACAUCAGUAACUAAAGAUGAAGAUGAUGUUGUCUGGCAAAUGUCCCUUCGGUAUGCAGAACAAGGGCACGGAAAAAAAGAAAGAUCAGGAAGAUUUCUAACAAGACUUUAGUCUCACAUUUUGGAUAAAGUCGGAAGUUCUUCAAACAAAUUGGCUUUGUCAGAGUAGACCGUGCAGGGGCGAAGCCAAUUUAGUUAUUUAGGGAAAAAUGUUAAGACUUGAGAGCUUUAAUUCGGUAUGUGCUGCACCUGGGAAGAAACUAGUUUUCAUAAAGAUUUUUUACUACGCGUAAUUUAAGCUCUGAUUUAAAAACUAUCUAAAUACCUAUUUAGCCGAUAGGGUGUAAUAGAUUCUUCACAAAACACCUAAUUUGUUGAGCAAAUAACACAUGGUUUUAAAAUAUUCCGUGUGUUUUACAUAAUACGUCUUUAGUUACGGGUAAGCAAAUAAUUUGUGUGUUACAAAUUCUUUAAAUGCCUUUAUUCAGUAGCAGAAAUAAUUUACUAUCUACUGAGUAAAUAAUAUACACUUUGGAAAUUGUCUAAAUACAUAGCUACGUGAUAGAGUACAACGUCUCCAAAGGAACCAUUAAAGUUUAUCGUGUCAAACCUUAUACACUUCCAGGGGAGAUUUUAUUUUGUCUUUUCCCUUUUUUAAGCCAACAUAAAAAGGAAAGUAAAAAGGCAGAUAUUAAAAGGGGGAAUCUUUCACCCUGACACAAACCCAAAAAGAGGAGCUUACCCACAAUUUUCUGUGUGAAUCUUGCAAUAAUGGCUAAUUAUAAAAAAUAUCUGUUUGAAA